rnacentral:misc_RNA from 1 species
AGCAGCCGCGGUAAUUCCAGCUCCAAUAGCGUAUAUUAAAGUUGUUGCAGUUAAAAGCUCGUAGUUGAAUUUCGGGGUUAGUAGGUUGGUCAUGCCUCUGGUAUGUACUGGUCUCACUGAUUCCUCCUUCCUGAUGAGCCGUAAUGCCAUUAAUUUGGUGUUGCGAGGAAUUUGGACUGUUACUUUGAAAAAAUUAGAGUGUUUAAAGCAAGCUAACGCUUGAAUACAUUAGCAUGGAAUAAUGAAAUAGGACGUUCGAUCCUAUUUUGUUGGUUUCUAGGAUUGACGUAAUGAUUAAUAGGGAUAGUUGGGGGCAUUAGUAUUCAAUUGUCAGAGGUGAAAUUCUUGGAUUUAUUGAAGACUAACUACUGCGAAAGCAUUUUGCCAAGGAUGUUUUCAUUAAUCAAGAACGAAAGUUAGGGGAUCGAAGACGAUCAGAUACCGUCGUAGUCUUAACCAUAAACUAUGCCGACUAGGGAUCGGAUGAUGUUAAUUUUUUAAUGACUCAUUCGGCGCCUUA